UUUAACUCCUCAUUCAAAAAUCAAAACCCAUAGAUAAUAAUUCGAUCUUCUUCAAUUAGGGACGUUUUCUUCUUCAAUUCCUCCUCCAAUAAUUUAGCUUAGCAACCCGCUCCACCAAUCUGUAUUCACAAUGCCCCAAAACGAGAGUAUUCGCUUCACUUCAUCUUCGCUCAAAAUUCCUUCCCUUCCUCUACGACAGCUGCAAACACAGCCACCACCUCCCUUCCCUUUCCUUUCUCAUAUCUUCACCUCUCAAUUAGCUAAAACAGCAAUCUCUUUCACUAAUUUCAUCGACUCGCUCAUAACUCGUUCUAGAUUACACAUACCUCGCCCCCCCGAUUCCAAAACUCGGAGGUCUAACUUGUUUGCCAACUCACCUCUUAUGUGUUUAGCUUCAUUAUCACUCAAUCGGUCGACAGAUUUAGCUCCUUCCGAGUCACAUAUAAAGUCGCCGAUUCUCUGUUCGGCUUCAUUGUCGGUGAGUCAACCUGCUGAAACGGCGUUGCCCAGCUCAGAAGCCUUGGUGACGCAGCAGAAAGGGGGUGGCGGUGGCGGUGCUGGUGCUCACUCAGCUAGUCGACACGAUGAGGAGAGAGUUUUGAUAAGUGAAGUGUUGGUGAGGAACAAGGACGGCGAGGAGCUCGAGAGGAAGGACCUGGAAGCAGAGGCUUUGGCUGCAUUGAAAGCGUGCCGGGCCAAUUCGGCUCUCACGGUACGCGAGGUUCAGGAGGAUGUACAUAGGAUUAUUGAUAGCGGAUAUUUUUGCUCGUGUAUGCCUGUCGCAGUAGAUACUCGCGAUGGUAUAAGAUUGGUGUUUCAGGUAGAACCAAACCAGGAGUUCCAUGGGCUGGUAUGUGAAGGAGCCAGUGUUCUUCCAACAAAGUUUCUGGAGGAUGCUUUCCGAGGUGGAUAUGGAAAAGUGGUAAAUAUCAGGCAUUUGGAUGAUGUGAUAACUUCCAUCAAUGGCUGGUACAUGGAGCGUGGUCUUUUUGGAUUGGUUUCAGGAGUUGAGAUCCUUUCUGGGGGUAUUAUAAGGUUGCAAGUUGCAGAAGCUGAGGUGAACAACAUUUCCAUACGCUUCCUUGACAGGAAAACUGGCGAGCCAACUAAGGGGAAAACAAAACCUGAAACAAUACUUAGACAACUUACAACUAAGAAGGGACAGGUCUACAGUAUGCUUCAAGGAAAAAGAGAUGUAGAUACUGUGUUAACCAUGGGGAUCAUGGAAGAUGUUAGCAUCAUACCCCAACCUGCUGGAGACACUGGUAAAGUUGAUUUGGUAAUGAAUGUUGUCGAACGUCCGAGUGGAGGUUUCUCUGCUGGUGGAGGAAUAUCUAGUGGGAUUACAAGUGGCCCUCUAUCAGGACUCAUCGGAAGCUUCACCUAUUCUCAUAGGAAUGUUUUUGGAAGAAAUCAGAAACUUAAUAUUUCCUUGGAGAGAGGCCAAAUUGACUCGAUAUUUCGCAUAAACUACACAGACCCAUGGAUUCAAGGUGAUGACAAGCGAACAUCUAGAACUAUUAUGGUUCAGAAUUCGAGAACCCCAGGGAAUCUUGUCCAUGGUAACCAACCUGGUAAUAGUAGUCUUACCAUUGGCCGUGUAACUGCUGGUGUAGAAUUCAGUCGACCACUCAGGCCAAAGUGGAGUGGAACAGCUGGACUUAUUUUUCAGCAUGCUGGUGCUCGUGAUGAAAAAGGAAAUCCAAUCAUUAAGGACCACUAUAGCAGCCCUCUUACUGCAAGUGGCAAGACUCAUGAUGAUAUGCUGCUAGCUAAAUUUGAAAGUGUCUAUACUGGUUCUGGUGACCAUGGUUCUUCAAUGUUUGUAUUGAAUGUAGAACAAGGACUUCCUCUUUGGCCUGAAUGGCUGUUUUUUAACAGAGUAAAUGCACGUGCUAGAAAGGGCAUGGAAAUUGGUCCUGCUCUAUUUCUUCUAAGUUUGUCUGGUGGCCAUGUGGUGGGUAAUUUCUCUCCUCAUGAAGCAUUUGCCAUAGGCGGAACAAACAGUGUGAGAGGAUACGAAGAAGGUGCUGUAGGUUCUGGUCGAUCUUAUGUAGUUGGCUCUGGUGAAAUUUCUUUCCCUGUGUUGGGGCCAGUGGAGGGGGUUUUGUUUACUGACUAUGGAACUGAUCUGGGAUCUGGACCCACUGUGCCUGGUGAUCCUGCUGGGGCAAGGCUGAAGCCUGGAAGUGGAUACGGAUAUGGCUUUGGCAUCCGAGUGGACUCCCCUUUAGGCCCUUUGCGUCUCGAAUAUGCAUUUAAUGACAGGCAUGCAAAGAGGUUUCACUUUGGUGUUGGUCACCGAAAUUAAGGCCCUAUUGCAUCCCCUUAUUUUUAGUUGGGUAUAGUCCCCCCCCUUUUGUUCAAUUAACUCUAGUGGUUGUGUUGUCAAGAUCUGUGUUGCCAGUAAAAUGCUUUUGUUUUUAUGUGGUAAUUGUAUUGGUGCCGGC
rnacentral:misc_RNA from 1 species